CAGGGCGUAGCUAUAAGACAAAGCAUUCAGCUUACACCUGAAAGAUACCUACUACCCCUAGGUCACCCUGA
rnacentral:tRNA from 1 species